UCAAACUUGGUCAUUUAGAGGAAGUAAAAGUCGUAACAAGGUUUCCGUAGGUGAACCUGCGGAAGGAUCAUUAAUGGAUUUUAAAAAAGGGGUUUGGUAUAGUGCUGGUCAAUAUUUUUUGGCAAGUGCACAUCCUUCCCUGAUCAUCCACUUUUACCACUGUGAACCUUUAGUAGGGCUGGAAACAGCUCUAUGUAUUUUUUACACACCAUGUAUAACCUUUGAAUGUCUUUACUUUCAAGUAUGCUCGCAAGGGCAGAAAGAAAAUAAAAUAAAUACAACUUUCAACAACGGAUCUCUUGGCUCUCCCAUCGAUGAAGAACGCAGC
rnacentral:misc_RNA from 1 species